UCCUGUGGCAACUCCUCUGUAGAAGGGCAGAUGAAGGUCAUUAAUACCAAACAAACACAGACAAGGAAUCUUGGGUGCUAGAGGAAGAUGCCCAGAAACCCAGAGCCUCUGUUGGUUAUCUCCAUGGUAACCAAGGGGCCCUGUUGCAGGCCCCCAGAAUGUAAGCAGCCAUCCAAGGGUAUACGCAGCUUACCUGAUAGCUUUCACAAUGUCUUCGUUUUGUAGUCCUUAUCUACUUAGAGGGAGGCAGCUUAGUCUCAGAACUCUGACAGCCCAGAAGCCAUCUCCCCCACCCCAGUUUUUCAGUACGAUAUGAAGAUGAAACAUUGUCUAAGUUUGGAUUGCUAUAACAGAAAGCUGCAGACUGGGUGACUCAAAAGACAGUUUCUGAUAGUCCUGGAGAACGAGAAAGUAAGACACUGGCAGAUUCCACAUUUGGCUCAAGGCUUCCUGGCAAUUUGCACAAAGCAUUUCCAUUUGUGCCAGUGGGGAACGCCAUUCCAACGACCUCAUGCAAAACAAUAGAGCCAUCCAUCUCACCCGCCAAAGACCCAGAUCUCCUCUCCAGGCUUCACCAUGUCUCCCAGCCCUCUGGUGCCACGAACCCUGCUCCUGCCCAACUGCCCUCGGCGCCUGCUUAUCCUCCAGGACCUAUGUGAUCGUAAAGGCAGCGCCUAUCAGUGAGCAGGGCACUGCCUGCAUUAGGAUGCUACCUUAGCUGUGGUUGUUCAAGAGAUUACCGUCCUAACUGGGAAAGCAAGAGGCAGGAGCCCAAGGAAGCACAAGAUAGAGGGCAUCUGCAGUCAGGAAGCUUCCUGCCGAAGCUUCAGACAUAAAUGUGGCAUGCAGCUCCUAUUCUCUUUACAUUCAGUCUGGACGCCCAGCCUAUGGA